rnacentral:rRNA from 1 species
GAUGAACGCUAGCGGCAGGCCUAAUACAUGCAAGUCGAGGGAGAAUGUUGGAUUCGUCUGACAUGAAACCGGCGCACGGGUGCGUAACACGUAUGCAACCUACCUUUAACUGGGGUAUAGCUCAGAGAAAUCUGAAUUAAUCCCCCAUAAGACUACGACAUGGCAUCAUGAUGUAGUUAAAGCUCCGGCGGUUAAGGAUGGGCAUGCGGUACAUUAGCUAGUUGGUGAGGUAAUGGCUCACCAAGGCUACGAUGUAUAGGGGGUCUGAGAGGAUGGUCCCCCACACUGGUGCUGAGACACGGACCAGACUCCUACGGGAGGCAGCAGUAGGGAAUAUUGGUCAAUGGACGCAAGUUUGAACCAGCCAUGCCGCGUGAAGGAUGAAGGCCCUAUGGGUCGUAAACUUCUUUUAUUAGGGAAGAAAAAACGGGAUGCGUCCUGUACUGACGGUACUUAAUGAAUAAGGAUCGGCUAACUUCGUGCCAGCCGCCGCAGUAA